rnacentral:rRNA from 1 species
UACGGGGGGAGCAAGCGUUGUUCGGAUUUACUGGGCGUAAAGGGCGUGUAGGCGGCCACCGCAAGUCAGUUGGGAAAUCUCUGGGCUUAACCCAGAAAGGUCAACUGAUACUGCGGGGCUAGAGUGCAGAAGGGGCAACUGGAAUUCUCGGUGUAGCGGUGAAAUGCGUAGAUAUCGAGAGGAACACCUGCGGCGAAGGCGGGUUGCUGGGCUGACACUGACGCUGAACUGCGAAAGCUAGGGGAGCGAACGGG